CUUUUCAAAAAUAAUAGCUUCGGACGGUAACAGAAAGCGUUUUGAGCUUCGAUGGAAGUUUGUCGUUGCCGGUCUGUGUUAAUAAACGUGGAUUUCAGAGGUUGGGAUCCAAACCCAAACCCCCCUAUUUGGGCAUCAGAAGCCCAAAAUUCAUUGAUAUCAAACAACGGCAUGCGUCGAGCCGCAGAGGGUUUUAUCAUUUGGGGCAAAUCUUCGUCAAACAUUGGAAAGUGAUAGAGCACUCGUUUUCUUCAAAGCAUUUCACGCGCUUCUUGUCUUCUUCAAUGCGAUUCUGGGUGCCAUAAUUGGUGUACACUUUCAUUUCUUGGGUGUCUCGCCCCUUGAAACACAUCCUGAUAUCAUCUUGCGUUUAAUAGCGGCUACACUUGUCUAUAUCAUUGCAUAUUUGGUGAUAAAAGUACAUCCGCAAAAUGCUGCUUACCGUUUCAUCUUCGGACUCAUUUGUCUGGUUUCUGGAAUUUUUUCUGCUGAGCUACUUCUCGCAUUAAUAAUUUCUCCCCGUAGGUUAUUCAUUGUUAAUUUAUGUCCAAUCCUGAUAAUUGGGGUACUGCAUCAUUGGUACCAAGGAAUUUAUGAGGGUAUCUACAGCACAGCUGGUAUGGUACUCAGGGCAGUACAUAUCUUGUAUAACAAGAUUUAUGGAUUACUUUGUUGGAUGUAUGGGCGGCUCCUACAGACAUUCCAAUCAGGAGCUUCUGAUGCAAUUUCUUCAGAUGCAGCUGGCAGUAAUUGAGGGUUAAUUGGCCUGAUAUUGUUAACUACCUACAAAAUAUAUGAAGCAAAUCCUGGAUUGGACUAAAGCCAGUUGCAAAAGCUGAAUGGAACACUUCAUUAUUUUGAUUUUGAGUAUUUUUCAACCCACAUAUUAUUGUAGUCAUUAAAGUCGUUGAGAAAUUUGGACACAAUGGAAAUGGAUUUUGUUUUGAUAGGUAACUCAAUAGGAAUGGAUUAUCUUUGUUCUAA